UACGUAGGGGGCAAGCGUUGUCCGGAAUCAUUGGGCGUAAAGGGCGCGUAGGCGGCCUGAUAAGUAGGGGGUGAAAUCCUGUGGCUUAACUGCAGGGCUGCCUCCUAGACUGUUAGGCUCGAGCACGGUAGAGGCAGAUGGAAUUCCCGGUGUAGCGGUGGAAUGCGUAGAGAUCGGGAAGAACAUCGGUGGCGAAGGCGGUCUGCUGGGCCGUUGCUGACGCUGAGGCGCGACAGCGUGGGGAGCAAACAGG
rnacentral:rRNA from 1 species